rnacentral:lncRNA from 12 species
AUGCCUUACUUGGGGCAAUUAAAAGGCCCAAAGGCCUCAAUUGUAACUUCAGUUUCCCUCCCAGCGAAGCCCCCCCAGCCUCGCCCCGUGCCCGUCUCUCUGACCCUCUGGUCUCCGUGCAGGCCCGGUGGCUGCUGGGGGGGAGAGCCCCCCGCCCUGCCCCGCGGGGCCAGCCCGGCAGGCAGGGCUCGGCCGGGGCCAGGUCGUGCCAGGGCAAGAGGACAAAGGCUGACUGUCCUCCCUGUGCCCUCCGCCGGGAACGCAGCACGAGGACGUGUCGGGGCCAAGGGGCCGGACGGAGGAUGUAGGGUGGCGAGGGCGGACCCAGAUGGCCGGCCUCCUGCUGUUGCCGAAGGUGGUUCCGCGCUUGAGUUUCUGCGUGAAAGUGUCUUCCUGGUUGGCCGUGGGAGCAAGUGCUCCCUGGGGAGCGUGAGUGGGGGCUGGGCUUCCCGGCGGGGUCUGCGGCUGCCAGGCCGAGGCGUGAGCGCACGGGGUGCAGGCUGGCCCCUGGCAGGGAGCAGUGCCGCCGCUGCCCUCCGCACGGGCGCCCGCCUGUCGGGAAGCCGCGCACACCGCCCUGGACCUUUCGAAAGGGCCGGCUGUUCCCUCUGCGACGUGGACGGCGUGUCCCUGCGGAAAGCUGGUUGACCCACCGAGAAAACGGGUCCUCCUGUGUCUCUUUGCUCACAGGGGAACCGCAGGUGUGACCCGGCCCCCCCCGUCCCUCCUUCCCAGCUUGCACAGCACCCACCCUGGAGCCCCGGGGCUGUGAUUCGGGGGCGGGGGUGGGGGCGGGGGCAGCUCCUGGAGUCCCCUGCGCGGCGCGAUUUCACCAGGACGCAGUCGAUCCUUUGUGUCUUGGGGACACAGACCCCGGAGAAGCACGACCUAGAUCGCUAGCGCUUCAAACAAGUGAUGGGGCUCCAGGGAAGAAGCAGGGCUCCGCCGACACUGGUUCGGAUGAGGUUAAACAGACCUCCUCGCAGCGGGACUUCUCAGAGCCUUGGCUCCCUCAGUAAUAUUUACGGAAGGCCUGCGGUGGCCCAGCCCCAGGGCGCGUGCUGGAGUGGCCCUGCUCUGCGGGGGGCUGGGCGCUGGGCACGUCUGUCUCGAUGACUCUGAUGGCUCUGGGCCCCGUACACAAGCUCCUUCCCUGGCGACUCGUGAUGUGACCCCCUGUUCUGGGCUUACUGGGCCUCUGUAUGUCUUCCUUGGAGAAAAUAUCUAUGUCCUCGACCCACUUCUAUGUGGUUUGCACUGUUAGGAUUGUGCUAUGAGUUACAUACGUAGCCUGAGCACAAGUCCCUUCAGAUGUGAGAACACUCGCUGCCAUCCCGUGAGGCGUCUUCUCACCUUUAUCGUGCCCUUUAUAGAAGCCCCCAGAUUUUUAACUUGGGUGAUGCUCUGUUUGAUCUCAUACUUUUGGUGUCCUCUGUGAGAAACCAUCGCUCCAGGGGCAGCCCGGGGGGCUCGGUGGUUUAGCGCCGCCUCCGGCUCAGGGCGUGAUCCUGGAGACCCAGGAUCGAGUCCCACAUCGGGUUCCCUGCAUGGAGCCUGCUUCUCCCUCUGCCUGUGUCUCUGCCUCUCUCUCUCGCUCUGUCUCUCAUGAAUAAAUAAGUAAAAUCUUUUUUAAAAAAGAAAAAA